rnacentral:snRNA from 1 species
AUACCUUCUCGGCCUUUUGGCUAUGAUCAAGUGUAGUAUCUGUUCUUAUCAGUGUGACAACUGAUAUGUCUCCAACUGNGUGUACAAAGAAAACUCCCA